AUUGAACGCUGGCGGCAUGCCUAACACAUGCAAGUCGAACGGGGCAGCAAUGCCUAGUGGCGGACGGGUGAGGAAUACGUAGGAAUCUGCCCUUAAGUGGGGGAUAACCAGGGGAAACCCUGACUAAUACCGCAUGAUCUCUUCGGAGCAAAGAGGGGGCCCGCAAGGCCUCUCGCUUCUGGAUGAGCCUACGGCUGAUUAGCUAGUUGGUAGGGUAAAGGCCUACCAAGGCGACGAUCAGUAACUGGUCUGGGAGGAUGAUCAGUCACACCGGAACUGAGACACGGUCCGGACUCCUACGGGAGGCAGCAGUGGGGAAUAUUGGACAAUGGGCGCAAGCCUGAUCCAGCAAUGCCGCGUGUGUGAAGAAGGCCUUCGGGUUGUAAAGCACUUUAGCCUGGAAAGAAAAAACUUUGGUUAACACCCAAAGUCUUGACGGUACCAGGAGAAUAAGCACCGGCUAACUCUGUGCCAGCCGCCGCCGUAACAC
rnacentral:rRNA from 1 species